rnacentral:rRNA from 1 species
GGGGUUACUGAUGACUAAAUAUCUGAAUGAGGAAAUUCAGCAUUAGUGUGCCAGAUGAUGGUACAUUGGUGUGCACUUUUCUUCUAGUAAGACGUUGCGAUCCAUUAGAAAAGCAAUUUAAAUCUGUAUAUAGGCCCGAAUAGGAGUUUAUACAUUAAGCGAGUAACAUGGCUUUGUUGUUAUGUGAAUGCGUGUAAACUAUUUGGUGUUCUUACAGAUGUCUGAUGGUAUAUUGACGAGUGUCACAUACAAUUCCUUGUGAAUUGACAUUCUUUAUGGAAGGAAUGGGGACCUUAACCACCACCUUUUAAAAUUAAGAAACCCUCCAGACCCCUCUUGGAACCCCGACCAAAAAAUCCAACUUGGAUGCCAGUCCAUGGGAAUUUUAAAACCUAUUGGCCAAAUGAAAUUAACUUGGUAAUGGGAAUACCAAUGGGGGAAUAAUUAUACUGGUUUUCCCUCCCCCGGUAACUUAAUGGAAGUACUGGAACUUCCGUUGGCUGGACCACCAAAAUAUUCCGUGGGCAUACCAACUGUGACCCCAAAGAAGGUGAACUAAGCCUGAACCAGGUGAAGUCCAGGGAAACCCUGAUGGAAGAACGUAACCAUUCCGAAGUGCCAAUCCAAUGCAGAAUUGGGUAUAAGGGCCAAAGAACCAUCGAACCAUCUAGUACUGUUUCCCUUCCAAAA